UACGGGGGGGGCAAGCGUUGUUCGGAAUUACUGGGCGUAAAGGGCGCGUAGGCGGGCUGCCGCGUCCGGGGUGAAAUCCCACGGCUCAACCGUGGAACGGCCCCGGGUACGGGCGGCCUCGAGGAAGGUAGGGGCGUGCGGAACUGUGGGUGGAGCGGUGAAAUGCGUUGAUAUCCACAGGAACUCCGGUGGCGAAGGCGGCACGCUGGACCUUUUCUGACGCUGAGGCGCGAAAGCCAGGGGAGCGAACGGG
rnacentral:rRNA from 1 species